rnacentral:rRNA from 1 species
UGCGUAGGUGGCUUUGUAAGUCAGUGGUGAAAGCCCGGAGCUUAACUCCGGAACUGCCAUUGAUACUGCUUAGCUUGAAUCAGGUCGAGGUGGAUGGAAUAUUACAUGUAGCGGUGAAAUGCUUAGAUAUGUAAUAGAACACCAAUUGCGAAGGCAGUUCACCAGGCCUGUAUUGACACUGAGGCACGAAAGCGUGGGGAUCAAACAGGAUUAGAUACCCUGGUAGUCCACGCCCUAAACGAUGUAAACUCGACAUUAGCGAUAUACUGUUAGUGUCCAAGCGAAAGCGUUAAGUUUACCACCUGGGAAGUACGACCGCAAGGUUGAA